rnacentral:lncRNA from 1 species
UAUAUUUCUACUUAUUAUAAAACUUUAGAGUCAAUUUUUUUGAAUUAAUAAAGUCAAAAAGCAUUAUAGUUAAAAGGGGUUUUAGUGUCUCUUAGUGAAAACUCAGGGAUCUACAUUAUCAUUUUCCCAAGCCUUGGGAAGUGACAUUUUCAUUAUUUACGCUUAAUUGCAUAUGUGAUUAUAUGAUUUAAGUAUAAUAAUUAAAAUUUUAAAGUAUAAUAUAUUAAUUUGAGUAAUACUCACUUAUAAAAUAGAUAUUAUAUAAUUCGAGUAGUAAUCAAUGAAAAAUAUGAUGUAUAAUCAAUUAUAACAAAUUUAUUACACUAUUAGUAUACAAUGAAAUAAACUAUCACUAAAAUAUAAUAAUUGAAAAUAAGGCAACAUCAAUUAAGGUAUAAAUUACGUAUCCAACUAUAUAAGUAUAAUGUUAAAUAAAUUUAAUUUUUAUGACUCAUAAAAAACUAUUGCAAUUUGGAGCAAUAAAUAAUAGUUUUAAAAUUGUAGUCAAUAUUAUUGUUAAAUUAUAAUGUUGAAUUUAUCUGUAAGAGAAAAUUUCCUUUUAAUACUUAAUUGAGGAAGCAAAAUUAAUGUUUUAAUAUAUUUUUAUUUUUUCUUGAUUGCAUUAAUUUCCUAAUGUGUUUUUUUAUACAAAAUAUUGUUUACUUUGAAAUGCAUUUACUGUGCUUAAAGCAUUAAUUAAAGAUAAAUAAAUGGUGACUUAGUUGAAUUGGAUUCAAAGUAAAUGCUGAUUUGCAAAUCUUAAAAUUUCAAUAUAAAAAUUAAUUUUCACUAUUCCUGUGAUAAUCAUAUAAUAAAUAAAUAAUUUGUUUUAUCUUAAACAUUUGAAAAAUAAAAAUUUGAGCUGUACAAAUUGCAUAUGCAAUUGUUAAAAAUUAAAUUUUGGUUGAAGUGAUGAGAUAUCAAAGAAUUUAUUUUGGAAAGAAAAUUAGUACAAUUAAUUUGAAUUAAUAAAAUAGGCAUAUCUAUAAUGAUAAAAAACUCAAGUAUAAAUAAGUUGAGUUUAAGAAAUCUCAUGAAGUCAAGAAGAUUAAAAAGAAAAACAAAAUGUUCCAACAUAAUUAGAUUAGGUAAGUUCCUAAUCUUUUAACUUACAAUGUUGAUUGUAGUUUAUAGAAAAUUGAAUAGGGGUUACAAUAGUGAAAUUUUAAUAUAUUGUUGUAAGUUGAUAUUUACUAAAAUAAGAGGAGUAAAAUGAGAUUCACCUUAAUAAUAUUAUUUGUUUUUCGUAAUAAAGGUACCUUUGAAUUUUAUAAUAUCAACUUAGAAUUUAACCAAUAAUGUUGAAACAUAACGUAGGCACUGAGAACUUGAAACACAAAAGUAGUGAACUAAUUAAUUGAAGUAAUUGAACCCAUAAGUGAGAAAGUUUAACCAAAAUAUGGAACUUAUCUAACCAUAUAUAAAAUCUAAAAAGUAAAUUUGGUAUCUAACCCAAUUUAUUAAAAUCUUACAUAAAUAAUCGGAAUAUUCAACACAAUACUAGUGAAAUUAUUAGUUGAAACUCAUGUACCAAUAAAGGAGAAAGUUUAACCAAAAGUAGGGAUUAGUUCAACGAGAAAUGAAAUUUACUUAUAAUUUAACCCAAAAUAUUGUUACUUAACAAAUUUAAUAGAAAUAUUAAACACAAAACUCAUGGAUUGAAAAGUUGAAAUAUAUUAACCUAUAAUUGAGAAAGAUUAACCAAAAUUAGGGAUUAGUCCAACCAAAAAUAAAAUCUUACAAAGUAUAUUUAGUAUUUAACCCAAAUUAUUGGAAUCUUAACUAGAUAAUAGGAACACUCAACAUAAAACUAGUUGAAUUAUUAGUUGAAAUAAAUGAACCUAUAUGAGAGAAAAUUUAACCAAAAUCAGGAAAAUUAUCCAAUGAGAAAUAAUAUAUACUUGGAAUUUAACCCAAAAUAUUAGUAUUUAACGAUUUUAGUAGGAAUACUAAACACAAAACUAGUGGAUUAAAAAGUUGAAACAUAUAAAGCUCUAGUUGAGAAAGAUUAGCCAAAUCAGGAACCAAUAGAACCAAAAAUAAAAUUUUAUAAAGUAAAAUCGGUAUCUAACCCAAAUUAUUGAAAUCUUACCUCGAUAAUAAGAAGAUUCAACACAAAAUCACUAGAAUUAUUAGUUGAAAUAUAUGAACCCAUAAUGGAGAAAGUUUAACCAAAAUAAGGAACUAUUCCGAUGAGAAAUGAAAUUUACUUGGAAUUUAACCCAAAAUAUUGAUUUUUAACGAUUUUAGUAGGAAUAAUAAACACAAAACUAAUGGAUUGAAAAGUUGAAAUAUAUUAACAUUAAGUUGAGAAAGUUUAACCAAAAUUUGAUACAAAUCCAACCAAAAAUUAAACGCUACAAAGUAAUUUGGUACUUAACCCAAAUAAUUGAAAUCUUACCUAGAUAAUGGGAACAUUCAACACAAAGCCAGUGAAAUUAUUAGCUGAAACCCUUAUACCAAUAAGAGAGAAAGCUUAACCAAAAUUAGGAACUCAUCCUACGAGAAAUGAAAUUUACUUGUAAUUUAACCCAAAAUAUUGGUACUUAAUGAAUUUAGUUGGAACUUUAAACACAAAACUAGUGGAUUGAAAAAUUGAAAUAAAUGAACCAAUAAAUGAGAAAGACUAACCGAAAUUAGAGACAUACAAAAUAAACUUGAAACAUUCACCUAUUAAAUUGGUAUUUAA